UUGGGGGCGGGGCCUCGGGAGAGAGAGUAGCAGAGGUGGGGAGGGUCCCGGCUCCAGAACCAGCUCCUGCACCUUUCCCUGCACCCAAGCCUCACAGCUUUUAAUUGGGCCCAAGACUCUUUCCUGUCUGGAUGUCACCCUGGGCAGAACGUUGAGAAUCGAAGGUAAGGGGUGGGCAGCACUCACCUAGGGGGGUCACUGAGGACUUUGGUCAAGUCCACAGUGCCUUUUCUAGUCAUGUGUCUUCACCUGUUCUUUAUCUCAGGAUCUGAGAAGCAGGAGCAAGGAACUCAGGGAGAGAUCCAGGAAGACAUCUGACUCUGUUAAGAGACGACAGUCACAGCGACACGGGGAGCGAGGACACUUGCAGCAAAGUAAAAUGACUUCACAACUAUUGCAUCAGAGCUGCAGGUGUGAGAGAGCCUAAGCCUGUCUCAGAGUGCAGGGGACAAGAGGAAAGGAAUGGUGCCCUCACCUCCAGUAGCAUCCAUCCAGACACCAGCACUGACACUGGCCGUGCUCAGAACUGCCUCAGCCCUGAAGACACAACUGAGAAAUAGAAGGGGGCUACGCCCUAUGACAGCAGGUGCUCUCACUUUGUGGGUCCUUAUGUAACUGCACGAUGUUAAUCAGGAUCGCCCGUUCUACAUUGUGUAGCGCUGCUGCGGUGUCUCCUAGUUACUUGUUUCUUGUAAGAAUUCCGGUGACUGAGUUAGAAGCAUGCUUCCAAGCUGUGCGUGUCCUCGGCAUCCAGAAGCGGAGCCUGGAAGCUUCCGAAUUUCUCCAGAAUGCAGUCUACAUUCACCUUCGGCAAGGCCUGCAACAUGAGCAUCCCUGACUACGUGCAGUGUGCUGAGGACCACCAGACUUUCCCCGUGGUGGUCGAACACGUGGGGAUCAUCUCAGAGGAGAAUUUCUUUUGCAUCUAUAAGUGAAUCACCUUGGUGAGUCAGAUCAGUCCGUGCAGCUCCCAGUGGGCAAACUGUAUCCACUACAGUCACCACUAUGCGCCCAAGAAUGGGUGGAGCGACUUCCAGACCCACCGCAAGGUCUUGGGCCUUGUCAUCAUUACUGACUGCCUCUCGGCCAAGGCUUCGAAAAGCUCCACGUGCAGAGGAGCUGUAUGGCACCACGCUCUAUGACUCUCAGCUCUUUGACUUUCUGCUGCAUGGGGAGGUGGCCGAGCAGCCGCGCACCGAAGUGGCCUUCAAUUUACGAGGACUGCAGGGAGGUGGAGAAGAGGAUCGACGACUUCACUGAGUCACUCUUCAUCUUGCCCAAGUCCAAGUGGCUGGACGGUGCAUCCGACAAUUCUGGGGACAAGAUCCUCCUUCUCUGCAUCCCAUUUGAGAAGGAGGACAUCAUGGGACUGGACACAGAAAGCAGUACGUUUUGGUUACUGAGUCCCUCGAAUUCCCAUAUGAAUAGUAGCAGCAGCUAGUCAGUUACUGCAGAGGAGCCCGCUGGGAUUGUGAUCGAGACCACGUUGAGUAUACAGAUCGCUCUGGGGAGCACUGCCAUCCCAAGAGCGUUGUCAUGUGAUCCAGGAAUGUGCGUGGUGUGUCUGUACAGAGUUCUAUGUAUAGUUGGUUACAUUCUAUACCUGGAAAUUUCUCCAAAACUGCUUCCCACGUGCCCUCACCUCCAGUGGCAUCCAUCCAGACACCAGCACUGACACUGGCCGUGCUCAGAACUGCCUCAGCCCUGAAGACACAACUGACAAAUAGAAGGGGGCUACGCCCUAUGACAGCAGGUGCUCUCACUUUGUGGGUCCUUAUGUAACUGCACGAUGUUAAUCAGGAUCGCCCGUUCUACACUGUGUGACGCUGCUGCCGUGUCUCCUAGUUAUUUCUGAUCUGAGAAGCAGGAGCAAGGAACUCAGGGAGAGAUCCAGGAAGACAUCUGACUCUGUUAAGAGACGACAGUCACAGCGACACGGGGAGCGAGGACACUUGCAGCAAAGUAAAAUGACUUCACAACUAUUGCAUCAGAGCUGCAGGUGUGAGAGAGCCUAAGCCUGUCUCAGAGUGCAGGGGACAAGAGGAAAGGAAUGGUAAAAUUAACACUGACAAUUGAAAUUUUGUUAAAUAGCCUGCUAAUAUUAAUUGUAUCAAAUGAAUGUAUGCAGGUGUAUUUCUAUGAUCAUUUAUAGUUACACACAACCCCACCAGCCCCUCUUUCUCCCAUCGGGGAUGGGCUUUCUCAAGCACAGUGCCCCUCCUGGUUGAGUGGGCCACGCUGCGGGUCCUCGCCUGGGGCCAGGCUGCUGCAGGACACUGAGUCCCCGAGGCACGGCCUGGGAGAAAUGACAGGAACAUCUCUGCUCAUAACU